GGUGUAUGGUGUUUUGGUGUUGUGAGGUGUAUGGUGUUGUCAUGUGUAUGGUGUUGUGAGGUGUAUGUUAUUGUGGGUGUAUGGUGUUAUGGUGUUGUGGGGUGUAUGGGGUGUAUGGUGUUGUGUGGUGUAUGGUAUUGUGGGGUGUAUGGUGUUGUGGGGUGUAUGGUGUUAUGGGGUGUAUGGUGUUUUGGUGUUGUGAGGUGUAUGGUGUUGUGAGGUGUAUGGUGUUAUGGUGAUGUGUAUUGUGUUGUGGGGUGUAUGGUAUUGUGGGGUGUAUGGUGUUGUGGGGUGUAUGGUGUUAUGGGGUGUAUGGUGUUAUUGGGUGUAUGGUGUUGUGGUGUGUAUGGUGUUAUGGGGUGUAUGGUGUUAUGGGG
ensembl:lncRNA